UAAUACCUUCUCGAGCAGGAGCUCCUGCUGCCGCUGGGACAACCAGGAGUGGAUGCCGUCAGUCCACAGGCCACUGGGCCCAAGGCCAGGAAGGGGCCCUUAGGACUGCCCACGGGAGAAGGGUGUGGUGCUGACACGAGGUCACAGGGAGUCCCUGAGACUGGACCUCCACCCCGUGACUCAGUUUCCAUCCGGUGACCCUCUCAGAAGCCCAGGUCCCAGCAUUGCAGGAAGCUCCAUGAAAGCUCAUCAUCACAUUGGCUCCAGCGGCUAGGAAAGCCUUGGAGGCCCGAGGCCUGCUGGCCAGACCCUGUCCUGGGCCCUGAACACAAGCUGGGCCUGGAAGGGACAGUGAGGUGGGCCGGAGCCCACACCUGCUCAGUGCAACAAGCCCGGGCACCCAGUGGGUGGGCCCUGCAGCCAGGGAGAUCCCAUACUUCAGCCUUCCAGGUCCUGCCCUGGGUACCAUGUGCCACAUCACAUAGCCCAGCCAUGGGACCCUCCUAAUCCCAGCCAGGAGGGAGGAUGGAGAAUUUUUAUUUCAGAGGAGUGCAAAUACACAAAUCCUUCCCUCCCCCACCAUAAAGAGCCUGGCUGGCUUUGGGAGGGAGGGCAGGAUUUUUAGCCUCUCCCUUUCUCAAGGCACAGCAGGCCAAGCGUGUGUCACUCAUGCCCCUUUUACAAGUAAAGAAUCCAGCUCUGCGCGGUCAGGUCUUCCCAGUUUGCUCUGGGGUGCCAGCUCACCUAUCCGUAGGACCUGGCUCCUAGGGGUCUCUGGCCUCCAGCUGAUACGGAAGGGAAGUGCUGGGAAGGGAAGACUGUGGUCCCUUUAAAUGAUACAGGAGGGAAGGGAAGUGCUAGGUAGAGGAGGGCAUGGUCCCUGGCUAGGGCUCCACCCCCACGGACCUAGAUGAAGACAGGCAUUUCCUGCCCAAAUGUUGCAUUUCCCAAGGCCACCCUGGCCUGCCAUGCCCCCAUCCUGCUCCUAUAAAAACCCGAGACCCUAGCAAGGCAGGGACAGAAGCCACUGGGCGGUGAGAGGAACGCAUUGGUGGGAGAAGGUAAGUGUGUGGACGUCCCAAGGACAUCUCCGAGCAGCCGACUCCAGGGGAAAUCCAUCUCCCUCUGGCUCCCCCAUCUGCUGAGAGCUGCUUCUACUCAAUAAAACCUUGCACUCAUUCUCCAAGCCCACAUGUGAUCCAAUUGUUCGGUACACCAAGGCAAGAAACCCCGGGAUACGGAAAUCUCUCUGUCCUUGUGAUAAGGCAGGUCUAUCUGAGCUGACCUGCACCAGCCGCCUGCAGACAGCUAACCUGAAAGACCACCCUGCAACACAUGCUCGCUGCGGUUCAGGAGCUGCAAACCUCCACCCUAGACACUGCCGUGGGGUCGGACCCCCGCAGCCUGCCCCUCUGUACGCUCCCCUAGAGGUCUGAGGGUUGAGCAGCAGAGCACUGAAAAGAUUCCCCUGCUGCAUGCCCUGCCCUGCAAGGGGGACAAGGGGACUUUUCCUGUUUCACUGUUGGGGGUAGGUAGUGAUCCCCUGGCCGGAGACAGCACAUGGGGGAGAGACCAGAUGCACCCAGUGGGUGGAGGAUUCUCCUGGGGGGAGGCUGAGGCUGUUAGGAAAGGAGGGGCUGAGGGGAUGCCACAGCCCACCCUCUUCUGCCCCCCGCCCCCCUCUGCACCCCUCCUGAGGCUCAGGAGACUGAGAGCAGAGCUCGGAGGCCAAUACCCAGCACACAGGGAGCAGUGGGGUCUGUGGUCAGGGCUGAAGCACAGGUGAUGGCAGGCCAGUGAGAGGGAAGUGGUCCUCUAGGCCCAGCUUCCGGAGAUCCAGACCCCCUGGCAUGGCCCAGGGCAGGGGCCUCCAACACUCGCCCCAAGAGGCCUGUGGCCCCGCCCUGAGUGGGGGGUCCUCCCGCCGGCCGUGACUGCCCUGCAGUAGCUUCUCUGCUCCCUGUAGUCAGCACUCUCGGCCCCUCUGCCGUGCGCCGUGUCAUUUCAGCGGAUCCUGAGCCAGAGAAAGCCAUCAAUUAUUCAGCUCCUGCCUCUCAGCCUCCUCCGUUACUACCUCGUAAAGCUGGGAGAUAAAUCUCUUUGCUUGCUCCAUGGCACCGAGAGGGAGCAGGGCAGCACCGGGACCGGGACAGGCUCUGGCUGGGCCCCGGGUCCCCGAGCCAGCACGGGCAGCCUGCAAGGCUUCUCUGCUAUUAAUGCUGUAAUUCAGCAGCAGUGCAGCUGGGGCCUGGCAUACAGGGUCCCCGAGACGAGGAGGGGCUGCCCCUGCCGGAAUGCACGAGAGGGUGCCACCAGGGUGAGUCACAAGGACCACUUCUGCGGAUCUGGCAGGUCCCAGGGACCCCUUUAAAUCUGGGCCUGGGGAGAGUCUCUGAUGCUGCUCUGGAGGAUCGAGGAGCCCGACUCUGCUCACAGGGAAGACCACGCUGCUGCUGCUGCGGGGCAGGACAGCUGAGGAGCACGCCAGGCAAGGAAGCGACAGGCACGGUGGCUGGGGAGCACAGUGCAGUCCUAAUGUCUUCAGCCACACCCAGGCUGACCCUGGAGGCCCACAUGGAAAACCCUGGAAGCGACCCUGGCCACCUCUGGUGGAAGAGGCAGCCCCAGCCUCACCUUUCAGGACAGCGCCAUCUGCCACCGAGGCAGCUCCGGAGAGUGGGACAGCUGUGGGAGGCAGGACCUGCCCAGGCUGCCCUGCUGUGCACUUGCAGCCCCCUUCACCCCCAGCAAGGCUCUUGUCCCUGUGAAAACUGAGCAUUUGGACAGUCUGACGCCUUGGAGGGUCCAGUCCCACAGCCCCUGCCCAGUUCAUCUGCUACUGGAAACUCCACCACGGUGACCCUGAGCUGCCAGGAAAGAUGGGUUACGAUGGUACCGCUGCUCAGAGGGCAAGGCGCACCACUUCUGGCCACCACGUCAGGCACCGUCUGCUGGCACAGGAGGCCGGUGAGGGAGGUGAGGAGACGCUGUCUUCAGAACGUCCUCUGCCUGCAGCAGUGAGGUCACUGCAGCUUCACGGCGAGCAAAUGCACAUUCCAUGGGCUUCAUUCUCCCAAUCUCCAAAGACGGGACUGGCCCUGCGUGGGGGCUGUCGCGCCUCAGUGCACACGGGAGGCCUGAAUCAGCAAGGUCCACGCAGACCCCUGGCGUGGCCAGGAACCCUCCAGGGUCUGCAGCACUCAGGUCAAGGCUGGGAAUUCAGAGCCUCACAACCAAAUGGCCCAGGAAGUCCUUGAGAAGACUCACCUCCGAAACACUGCCAGAGCACCUCCCAUGCACCCAGCACUCCAGGGGGCACCCACAUGCGUGUCCUUGCUCACUGACCACCCUUGUGAACAAGUGACAAAACUGAGGUUCUGAGAUGGGCAGAGGCUCAGCCCUCCUUUCACACGAGUGAGUGGCAGAGCUGGGAUUCCCAAUUCCCACCCGGGACCAUCCACACUGGAGCCCACCCAGCUGUCUCCAGUGGGUGCAGACACAGGUGGGGCUGAGAAGCUGGCAGACAGGCAGGGGCACCUGGACCCCUCCCUGGCGGUCGCUGUCAGCUACACAGGGGCCAUGGCGAAGCUCUCGAAAGCAAUCGCUGGGCCGUGACCCAGCCCCUGGAUCUUCAGCAGUUGCUCCUGUCUCUCAAAAACUAGUUCUCACCUUCUCCAGUAAUCAGAAGCUGGGACCACAAGGGUUUCAUCCCAUGCAGUCCACGGAACAGGCCAUGGCUCUCUAGGCACAGGAGGAGGUCAGCUGUCAACCAGUCCCAUCCAGCCGUUGCCCAGGUGGAGCCUCACUCUGUUGCCCAGGCUGGAGUGCAAUGACAAGAUCUCAGCUCCCUGCACCCUCCACCUCCGAGGUUCAAGCGAUUCUCCUGCCUCAGCCUCCAGAGUAGCUGGGAUCACAGCGGCACACCACCAUGCCUGGCUAAUUUUUGUAUUUUUAGUAGAGACGGGGUUUCCCCAUGUUGGCCAGGCUGGUCUCGAACUCCUGACAUCAAGUGAUCAGCCCACCUCGGCCUCCCAGAGUGCUGGGACUACAGGCGUGAGCCACCGCACCCGGCCAUGGGGCAUCCUGUUAAUUAGAGUGUGAGCACUGCGGAUGUGGGCUGGGGAAUAAGUCGAUGCUGACAGAAAAUAACUUAAACCAUUGAAAGGAACAGGAAGUAAACAGAAGCAAAUCUUUACCGAAUCCCUGGUGAGAAGGAACUUUCCAAGAAUAAGGGAAGGAUGAGUAGACUUUGUGUGGAAGCUAAACUCUCAGGUGGCUCGAAAGAAAACAUCAAGCCAAAAGAUAAGCAAUGAGGCGGGUACAUUUUUGACGCUAACAUGACAAAAAAUUAAUAGCAUUAACACGGCAGGAACUUAUCCGAAGCAGCAACACUGAGGGUGACGUGAGCCGACUGCAGACAAGGCAGCACACACAGCAACCCGGACGCCAGGGGGCGCGCCACAGAGCAGGCUGCCCCGUCCCCACCCCGCCCACACGUGAGAGCCGCCAGACACGCAGUAAGCACGCCCCAGCCCCUCCAGCCGGGCACCACAGGAGGCCCUCCCUCCUCCACCAAGGGCAGGGAUCACAGGGCCAGGUUUUUAUCAUUGGACGAGGUGUGUCCCGAGUCAUGACCUGCUUAACCCAGGAACGCCCCUUUUUGGAAUCUAUGCUAAUUAAGCACUCAGAGAGGUGGACCUCACUCCACCGGCUCAGAUAAUGACCAGAGCAUAUCUAUAACUGCAAAAAAGGUGGAAGCAGCUACGCUAUCCAACCAUGGGGCAAUGUUUACGUCGAUGCUGGGAGAGACACACCACAGACCAGCCCCUGAAGAGACAUCUGUGGAACUCUGCUGGGCCGCCUCUUAGGCAAUUCACCACCCUGGGACAUCUUGCAGACAAGGAAAUAGGCUUCAAGAGGCGACGGUGCCUGCACAGGGCACGCAGCCACAGGGCCACCUUCUACAUGGCUCCCACCUGCAGCCACGUCUGCAAGGAAGCUGGGUUUUGUGGGGUUUUUUGAGAUGGGGUCUCACUCUGUCACCCAGGCUGGAGUGCAGUGGCGUGAUCUCAGCUCACUGCAACCUCCGCCUCCUGGGCUCAAGUGAUUCUCUUGCCUCAGCUUCCCAAGUAGCUGGGAUUACAGGCUCCUGCCACCACGCCUGGCUGAUUUUUGUAUUUUUAGUAGAGACAAGUUGCACCAUAUUGGCCAGGCUGGUCUUGAACUCCUGAGCUUGUGAUCUGCCUGCCUCGUCCUCCCAAAGUGCUGGGAUUACAGGCUCACUGAGCCACCACAUCGGGCUGAAAGCUGGGUUUUUACAGGGGCAGGUCCUCAAAGUGGAUGCCCCUUUUUUAAAGCCUCUGCCCCAGCAACCUUCAAGCAGCCACUUGCCCUGGACUCCAAGCAGCUGCCCUCCCCUUGCUGUCCUCUGGACUGUUCAGUAUGCAGAAGGACUGGCCCUGCAAGGCCGCCAUAAAUCCUGGCCCUGUCCUACAGCAGAUCAAUCGCCAAUCGGCUCCAAAUCCCCUAGAUGUCUCGGCCGCUCGGCCCAGCUGCGGAGCCACGGCCAUGGCUGUCUCUAGAUGCUGCUGGCUACAUAUAUUGAACUUGAAGCAUUGGAUUACAUGUUUGUUCAAUAGCAAUAAACUCCCAAAGUUUUAUGGGGUCAUAAAACUGCUGCCUGGGCUCCCACUUAGGUGCUGUGUAAUGUACACAGGCUGGUUUCCCCGCUAAUGGGGCGGCGCAAGUGAUUUGGGGCUAUUAGCUGGAAACCACGUCUGCAUUUUCCAAAUUCUCAUAAAUAAGGUGGUCCCCCUGGAGCACGCCAGACCCAGCCUUGAAGUUCGAGGAGAGGAAGAAAGGCAGAGUGGGUUGGAGCCGUGAGAAAUGAAUAGGGAGAGAGGGAGGCCAGGUGGGCUGGGGGGAGGCAGGGGUUGUCAGGAGAAAGGAGGGGGCAGGGCUCAGCCCAGACACCCUCCGCCCUUGAGCACACCCCUGCCCAGCCUCCAGCUUAGGAGGACUCAGAGGACAGGUACCUCCUCCCGAGGUCCUGGGCCCCAGCCUCGCCCUCUAAGGAGGGCAGUUCGGGUGCUUGGGGAGCUUGGAGGAAGGGCUACUGUGGAUGGUGGACAGAGAGGAGGGAGAUGCAUGUACAACAGCACCCGGGCAGGGCCACCGUGGGUGGGUACCCACAGACCCACGGGCAGUCAGAGAGGAAGACAACAGAAACACGGAGGCCGAGGCAGAGCAGGGAGAUGGCCAGGCGACCCUAAGCAGGCUGACGCUGGUGUGUGCAUCUGGGGAGGUGUCCCCUCUGUGGCCCAGGGUCAGGGUGAGGCGCUGCUGGAGGCAGAGGUGGAAGAGGCAGCUUAGGAGGCGGCAAGUUCCCAUCUGGGGAGGGCACAGGGAGAGCCCGAGGGAGGCGUUGUGUGAGAGCCCUCGGCUCUACCCUGGACUGAAGUCACCAUGUGCAGACCUGCUCAGGUCCCGGUGCCAAGUGCCCCAUAGGAGUGUCUGGGAUUCCAGCAGGAAGAUGCCUGGACAGGAUGGGGAGAGGAAGCCAGGCAGCCAGGAGCUGAGCAUGGGGCAGGGCCAGGCAGGCGCAGAGAUGGGCAGCCAGACUCUGACGGUCAACCCGGACUUGGCCGUGGCCAAGUGAGAGUGAGGGGCCGGCGUCUUCCAAGCCCCAACUCCCCAUCCCCUAGAUGUAGCCCAGCCGGUGGCACUGCCAGUCGCCUUUCAGCUCUGGCCAGGCUCUUCUCAGUGCUGGAGUUGGGCACGUGGAUGACUUUGCCCUGAUCUUUGUAACUUUGCUAUCGACCCAGGUCCUCUGAAAUGCAUCGAUUUGCCCAAAUCAAUAUUUAUUGUGGCUUCAAAGACUAGGGGGUAGGAGAGAGGGGCCUGCGGGCUGAUGAAUGGAGUCAAGGCGGCCAGAGAGCAGUCACCCCCACCUCCCUCCCAGCAGUCCUCAGCAGCCUCCACACCUGCCCUGCCCCCACCCAGCCCCUGCCUCCACCCUGAGGGCCCCUAGGGACCGUACACCCAGGUGUGCACAAAGGAUGAGCUGGUGGAGGUCACCGGUGCCCUGGUGACCCCUCUCACUCCUGCACCUCUGACAACGAGCGUCCUGCCCACUGGGGCUGUUUCCCGGAGGCUCAAAGUGAGUUCCCAGGAACCAAGCCCAUCCAGGGUUCAUUUCCCAGGGGAAGCCCCUCCCCCCGCAUCCCCACCUUCCAGGUCACACGGGGCCUGUAGGUGGGCUCUUGUCUCAGCUCCACAGGGCCCCUCGUGGUGGGCCUGGGGCCAGCAGCAGACACACUGGACAAGGACACAGGGCAUAAGGAGGUCUGCGGAAGGCAAAACACGUUCACAGAGAGAAACACACGUUCACAGGGAGGAAUUCUCAAGGCCAAGGACUGACAGCGGCAGCAGACCCCGGAACAUGGCAAGCAAGACCCCGUGGGGGGGCAGCAGCUGGCAGCUGCAUUGAUGAGCAGACAGAGAGCCUGAGCCGAGGUGAGACGUGGGGCAGACCUGCCCGUCCCCUCGGAAGGCCACUGAGGCUGUGAGCCGCAGCGCUGGCCACAGGCUGCCCUGGGCAAGCCCACCCCUGUGGAGGCUUCUUCCCGUCUACUCCUGCCCUGUGACUCCUGCUCUCCUCUGAGGGUCCGAAAGGGCCCAGCCACGUGCCCAGAAGUUCACCACCUUGAGGACCUGUCCCUGGAAAAUCCCAGCUUCCCUGGAGAUGAGGGGCAGGUGGGAGCCGAGCAGGUGGCCCUUCAAAGACUGGGGUGUUGGAGAAUUGCUAGCGUGCCCUGCACAAACACCAUUGCCUCUCAAAGCCUCGGUUUCCUUCUCUGCGAGAUGUCCCGGGGUGUCAGGGAAGUGGUGUGCAGCAGGGUCCCCCCACCCCAAGGCUGGCGGCCCUGCCUCUCAGGCAGAACUCAGGCAGAAGACCCCAGGCAGAGUGGGCGGGGAUGAGGACAAGAUGGGCUGCCCUGGCCACUGGGGGACCCGUGAGGACCAGGGGCUCGUUGUGCAAACACAAACCCACCCCAGGCCCAGCUGGGGCCUCAGAGGCGCUCCUGAUCUGCCUGGCACCUGAGGCAAGCAGGGGUAGAGGAGCAUGGAGGAAGCAGGCCUGGUGGUCGGGAGCUGCCUCUGGAAGCCUUCCUGGAAGAGGAGGCUGUGUCCCCAGCAGCCUCGCAGAACAGCUAAUAUUUCUUGAUGGCAUGGCGACUGCCUUCACGUCCCCGAUCUCAGAUCAAUUUUUAAUGUAGAAGGGAAGCCAGGAGACCAGAGUUUGGCCGACUGGCUGCUUGGUAACUGAGUUCAAUCUCAAUGAGGGCCCCAGGGCCCUUCCCUCCGGCCCCUUGCCCGCUUCAGGGUCCGAAAGGGCCCAGCCACGUGCCCAGCCACGUGCCCUCCUGGGAGGGCGUCUGUGGCUCCACUGCCUGCCCCCACAACUCAGCCUUCUGGAGGGAACACAGCUGUGUUUAGGGAACUCUGCAAAACUCAGUGGAUGCCGAGGGCUCCUGGCAGGGGCCGGGAGAAGGGGGUCCUGAGGGACGAGCCGCUCCAGGGCAGGGAGAAGACGGGUGAAGAAGUGCGGGGAGGUCUCAGGGCAGAAGGAAGUCCCCUGCGUGGUGGGAGGGUGCUUGCCUGCAGUGGGGCCCGGAGAGGUGCCCCAAGACCAGGGCCCUCAGAUUUUGGCCCUGUUUUCUGCCCCCAGCUGAGAGUCACCUGGCAGGUGCCUAGCCAAGCAUCCAACCCAAAAGCCUCCCCCACCCAGGCCACUCUGUGGAAAGCUGCCUGGCUGGGACACCCUUGUGGGCUGUCUCUGUCGGGGUCACCAUGUGACCUGGUUCCUGGGGCCCUUCAGUUUUCUACAGCGUCCUCAGUGAGUGGGUGUUAGUUUGUAGUUAGAGUGAAUGUGCCACAGGCCAACAAGAAGGGGACGAAGGGGAAGCCGGGGAGGACAUGCAGGCCCUGGCCAGAGUCACCCACACCCCAGGCCCACAGACGGGAGAGAAAGGGCCAUCAAGGGGACCCCCGCCCACCUGGGGUGAACAGGGAAGCAGCUGCUCCCAGGGGAGGGGGGUCCUGCCAGGAGCUGAGGCCUUCUGGAGAGGUCCACCAGCACAGGCCCCCCGCAACAACCCUCCUUCUCGGGGCCCAGGACAGAAGUGGGAAGAAUCUACUUGGUUGACCUGGGGUCGGUGAGGAGACACAGGCAUUUCCAAGCUGUGGGGCCCCCUGCCGGGCCAGAUGGAUGGGCUUGGGGCAGCACCAGCCCGUGGUGAACCAACAAGGACGCCAGGUGCCCAUGUGGGGCCAGGAGGUCUUCGGGUGGUGAGGGAGGGUUCUCAGAGGAUGCUGAGAGGUGGCAGCGCCCUGACCAGGGGCUGGGGUGGGGCAGGCUGUGGCUGCAAUCUCAGUCCUGCUUUAUGUCCACAAGGAGACACGCCCCCACUCCGCUCCUGGGCUGCGCUGAUUUUUACAGACAAGGAAACUGAGGCUCGGAGAGGUUAAAACCCUUGCCUGGUGUGGACCUGGCUCACAGACCCACACGCUGCGGACCAGGCAGGAGCUCUCAGAGGCACUGUUUCCCACUCAUGAGAUGCUUGUCCAGGAGCAGCCACAGCCCUGGAGUGGGGAGGCAGCACCUGGGAAAGGCAGGGGCAGUGGGGAGGCUGCCUGACCCACCGCCUCCUCUGACAGAGGCGCCAACCCCAUGUGCAGGGGAGGGGUGGAGGGAUACCAAGGUGGGGGUCAGGGAGGCCCCGAGCCUCGCCCAAGCUCCCCAGCCUUGAAGCUGCAGGCAGGACACUGGCCCAGGAAGCAGCAGAAGACAGUUGUCCCGGCAAGUACUGGGCACUUCCUGGGUGCAGUGCCAGCAGGCCAGGGAGGGUGUGUGCUGCCCAUGGAGCCUGGCAAGAAGGUGCACACCCAACGCUAGGGCUUCAGAAGCUCAUAAGAUGGUAGUGGGAGCCCCUCCUGGCUGAGAGCCUGAGCUCCAGAGCACAUGGUAGGACCCGGAGAUCAAGAAUCCCACAUGGGGCCAGGUGUGGUGGCUCAAGCAUGUAAUCCCAGCACUUUGGGAGGCCGAGGUGGGUGGAUCAUGAGGUCAAGAGAUCGAGACCAUCUUGGUCAACAUGGUAAAACCCUGUCUCUACUAAAAAUACAAAAAAUUAGCUGGGCAUGGUGGCACGUGCCUGUAAUCCCAGCUACUCAGGAGGCUGAGGCAGGAGAAUUGCCUGAACCCAGGAGGCAGAGGUUGCGGUGAGCCAAGAUCGUGCCAUUGCACUCCAGCCUGGGUAACAAGAGGGAAACUCAGUCUCAAAAAAAAAAAAAAAAAAAGAAGAUGACACAUGGAUGGGGUGCCCGGACUAGCACCCCGAGAAGAGAGUAGGGCCAUCCUGGCCCUUGGUCUGCCAGGCCUGCAGGGCUGUGGGCUCCCACUGGGUGGGCUGCAACUAGAGGCUGUGCACCUGUGCCCAAGCUGGCCCAGCACCCACCCUCUCACCUGCACGUGCAUUCCCCGGCCGGUUUGUCGGCUAGUUCAUUCUCUCACUGACCCCUCAACUAUUAUUUACGAGUCUCCCAGGUGCUAAAUAAAGUCAGGGGAACAUGGCAGGAGCCAGGAGCCAGGGCUGGGGGUCAUGUCUGGGUCCUGCUUCCCUUUUGCUGAGGGAUAAGGGGUGCCCCUCGAGGCCAAGUUCCCGAGAACCCACUGUUCUGACCCCCAAUGUGCUGCCCCAAGUCCGCGUCGCUGGGGGAGGGCCGCACGGAACGUGUCUAAGAUGGAGAGCCCUGUUCACCUGCCUUCUGUUCCUGCCGGAGUCACCGCCUGGGGACCGACACCACACUGCUCUCCAGGGCCAGCCUCCCUGUUCUGUGAGCAUUGAUUUCUACGUUUCCAGCAGAGCCUGGAAUUAGAAGCUGACAUUUGUUUGGACAGAAAGAGCAUGAAUAUUGUCUCUGGGGUGUCCUGGCCCGUUCCUGCCUGCCAGCCUGGAACAGACCCCAAGCCCGACUCCCGGUCAGCUCACCGGCCCACCAAGGAGGAGGACACAGAAGGCACCCAGUGCCCGGGCAAAGCCAAUUGCGUGGCAUGGGAGUUCCCCUGCCCGAGGCUGCUGCCUGGAACCCACCCCAGCACACCAUUCCUGAGGCCUGAGAGCAGCCAUGGACGGCACUGUCCCAGAUAUAGCAGUUGGUACAAAGUAUGUACCAACUGUCCCUCCAUUCUUAGAAAGGACACUUCCUCCCACCGGGUUCUGGGCAGGCAGUGGCGACAUGUGCCCUGACUAGGGCUGGUCAAGUGCAUGGGUCCGAAUCUAUUAACCAAGCUGUGCUGGUCACAUGCCUCCUCCCCGGCAGGCCCGACACAGCACCAGACGGGACAGCCUUUACCGCUCCGCUGUGUAUAUGCCUUGAGGGGGAUGUGCUGAUCUGAGACCCCCCAGCCACAGCCACAAGGUGUGUCCAGGCCUGGUCUCCUUCCCCCGUUCCUGGUAGUGGUCUGACUUUGGUUUUCUUCUUUCCUGCCUGUAAUCCUCGUGUGAGCAGCCUGGAGGCCAGUAUGGAGGAGGUGAGCUAAAGGAGCAACAGCAGGGCCCUGAGAAGGGCAGGUCCUCCUCCUGAAGCUGGGGUGACCCCUUGGGACAAUGGCAGGGUUGCUGGCUGGCCCACGGACCCUGCCACCUGCUGCCCUGGUGGGCUUGAGACAUUUUCAGGAACAGAUUCACGUCCAGCAAAGUAGCUGCUGGGCGGGAGCUCUGCCUCUGAGGUCCCCGGGAUCUGCCCUCCCCUGGCUGGCCGGGACACUUGGAGGUGUGGUGGUGACAGCAGCACCCUCAGUCAUCAUCACAUGUGCAGGGUGGAGCCCAGUGUGGGUUAGGGCUGAUGGCAUCAGGACCAGGUUGAGGGGACGAGCAUGUGGUAGGGAUGCUGAGGGAGCUCAGGAUACGUGCGGGCUCUGCCUUCCCCCUGCAUCUCCAGCAAGCCCCUUCCAUCAACCAAGGCUCCCCAUCUGGGUAGGGCCGUCCUGGGGUUUAAGCAAAAGGUAGGCACACAGUAGGUGCUCGAAGACCUCAGCAGAGGAUGGGGUGUCUGGGGAGGGGAGAAGAAGGCUGCUCUAGGGACCAGCACGGGAGGCCAGGCAUGGCGGCAGGAACAUCUACCACCCAGCAUCCACCUGAAGGCCAGUCACCAGGAAGGCAAGUCUUGACCCAGAUCUGUCGUCUCCAAAGCAUCUGUGGGUCAUAAAACGUGGCUGAGCUGAGAGCCAGGGUGGGAUUCUCAUGCCCAACCCUGCCCCUGGGAAACAUAACGGGUCUCUGCCGGCGCUCAGCGCCCCGCCCCCCCCAGGACCGCUCAGCGCACAGACACACAGCAAGGCCCCCAGAUACCCCCACAGCCAUUGGAAGAGCCCAGCACUUCCGGGAUCCCCAUUUCCCAACUUCCACCCAGGAUACCCGCAGCCUGCUUCACAAACGCCAGGCCCUUGCACACAGUAGGUGUUUGGGGGCUGCGAGGCCUCACACCACCUAACAGCCCCCUCCAGGACCCAGGAAGGAAGAGGGGGCCCAAGGGUGGAGGGUGGGUCUCCAGGGGCUCUGUGCGGUAGAUCCCGGAGCCCAGCAUGGCCCCCGGCAGAGCACUGGGGAGGGUCCGGGGCAGGCCUGCCCCCAGGGCUACAUGCGGCUAAGCCCUGUGAGGGCGAUCAGAGGGAGGAUCACCACAGCUCUGUGCUCUGUAUGGCAAUGCAUGCCCUGUUAAUCCUUAUGUAGGGCUCCCACUAGCCCCUGUGUGCCCCACGCUGGCCCUCCCCCCUUGUGAUCUGUCCCCCAACCCACCUCAGCAUCUCCAAGGCCUCCGGAGCAGAACUGAGAAUUACAGCAGCUCAUUGGGCAGCGCUCCCAGCCAGGGUUGGGAGCUGAUUCAUCCCGAGGCAGCAUCUAUGACCUUCUAGAAAGGUCUCUGCCUGCUGAGGGUGGGCAGGCAGGCGGGGUCCAAGGCCAGCGCUGAGAUCUGCUGCCAGGAAUCCGCCUGACAUAGCUGGCAACACCUGCUUGAGCGUGGUGUUUAAGGAGCUGUCCUGGAGUCAUCUACGCCAUGAAAUCCCAGACACACCUGCAUGUCCCGCUCCUGGGCUGCAUCUGGCACAGGAAAGAGCAGCCGAGAGAGUGACGGAGUCUCAGGCUCCCGGUACAAGCUGCGGACAGAGCCCAAGCCGUGCUGUCCUCACAGCUCCUAUGGGCAGAAAAGCUGAUGAGGCCGUGUGAACCGUUCCCCAGAAAGAGGACAAGCUCCUUUGUCCCCCGACAGGACGUGCAAUGGGGAGCGGCUCGAUUCUUUGGUCCCCCACUGCUCAGACCUCGAGGGCUCUGACCCCACAGCAGCGUCUAGGGGUGGAUGUUUACAGCUGAAGCCCCAGCGGGAGUGUUACAGGUGCUCUUUUAGUUUAGCCAUCUAUUGGCAGCUUGUGUUCAGCUCAGCUAGACUCCUGCCUCGUCACAAGGACAGACGGCUUUCUGUAUCCUGGGGUGCUUGCCUUGUGUACCGGGAGAAUCCCAUCACAAGUGGGCUUGGAGAAUGAGUGUGAGGUUUUACUGAGUGGAAGUAGCUCUCAGCAGAUGGGGGAGCCAGAAAGGAGACAGUUUUCCCCUGGGCAGCCUGGCCUCUCCUUAGAAUGCCCCAGCAAAUGCCAAGUCGUUCGGCUGCCGCCUGUUUCACAAGCCAGGCCUGCCGGUGCCCGUCGGUGUGUUCCUCUGGUUGUCCAGCCACUGGUGUCUUCUUCCACCAAUCCACUCCGCUCAGUGUCCGCCCGCUUGAGUGUCUGCCUGCUAGGGUGUCAGGUUUUUAUAGGCACAGGAUGGAGCAUGGCACGCCAGGGUAGUCUUAGGAAAUGCAACAUUUGGGCAGGAAAUGCCUGCCCUCACCUAGGUCCGCCGGGGUGGAGCCCUCCCCUGCCCAGCACUUCCCCUCCCCUCUUUCACAUCAUUCAAAGGGGCCACGCUCUUCCCUUCCCAGCACUACUGUAUCGCCCCCAGCUUGGGUUCCUGGGCGUCUGUCUUCCUUAGCACGUGGGCACUGCACACCUUCUGGGCGUCUGUCUUCCUUAGCACGUGGACACUGCACAC